rnacentral:rRNA from 1 species
AGAAUCUUCCGCAAUGGGCGAAAGCCUGACGGAGCGACACCGCGUGCAGGAUGAAGGCCUUAGGGUUGUAAACUGCUGUCACGCUCUAGGAAUGGCGUGUCGUGAAUAGCGGCACGUUUGACCAAAGCGAAAGGAAGCACCGGCUAACUCCGUGCCAGCAGCCGCGGUAAGACGGAGGGUGCAAACGUUGUCCGGAAUCACUGGGCAUAAAGCGCACGUAGGCGGCGCGCUAAGUCGGGUGUGAAAGCCCUCGGCUCAACCGAGGAACUGCUCCCGAUACUGGCGUGCUCGAGGACGGUUGGGGUGAGUGGAACUCCUGGUGGAGCGGUGAAAUGCGUAGAUAUCAGGAGGAACACCGGUGGCGAAAGCGGCUCACUGGGCCGUCUCUGACGCUGAGGUGCGAAAGCUAGGGGAGCGAA